UCUAAUAUGGCAGAUUAGUGCAAUAAAUUUAAGAUUUAUAAAUAUAAAUUUUAUUUAUUAUUAGAA
rnacentral:tRNA from 1 species